AGGAUAAACGCUGGCGGCGUGCCUAACACAUGCAAGUCGAACGCGCUUUCGGGCUUCGGUGCGAGAGCGAGUGGCGGACGGGUGAGUAACACAUGGGUACCUACCUUGGAGUGAGGGAUACCGGCGAGAAAUCGCCGACAAUACCGCAUAGGCUUCUUCACAAGGGAAGCAAAGUGACGCGAGUCACGCUUUGAGAUGGGCCUGUGGCCGAUUAGCUAGUUGGGGGGGUAACGGCUUCCCAAGGCGACGAUCGGUAGCUGGUCUGAGAGGACGAUCAGCCACACUGGGAUUGAGAACGGCCCAGACUCCUACGGGGGGCAGCAGUGAGGAAUUUUCCGCAAUGGAGGCAACUCUGACGGAGCAACGCCGCGUGCAGGAGGAAGGUUUUCAGAUCGUAAACUGCUUUUCUCGGGGACGAGCGAAGGACGGUACCCGGAGGAACGAAGCCCCGGACUAACUACGCGCCAGCAGCCGC
rnacentral:rRNA from 1 species